AAGGGUGCAGAGGGUGAGGCAGUGGCGGAGGCAGAAGCGACCGUACCCUUACCAUUUUCGUCGAUGUUGCUGUUGCGCUGCAGAUACAGCUGGAUGCAAACGUGGAUCACAAAGACAAUGAAGGCACCAAUUCCGAAGAUCUCAAAGGUGGUGCGUGCAGUGACCGACUCAAAUAGCUGUCCAGCGAUCAGGCUGCCCAUUGACACACCAACGCCUUCGAAUAUCGCUCCAACCAGACUCUGAAAUGGCCACAAUAUGCAUAACUCUUGGGAUCGCCCCCUACACAUUCAUCGAACUCACCUGCAUGGUAGCAUCGGUGCCUGGCGGUGCCACAAUGCUUGCAUAGGAGGCCAUUGUUGCAUAAAAUAGACCGAAGGUCACCCCGUUCAUCAGUUCGAUGGGCAGGAUGUACCAGGGAUUCUGAAGCAUCGAGUAGAGAAUAAAUCUCACUCCGAAUCCAAAAAGCACCACACUCAUGGCGUUUACAUGGCCAAUUUUCUUUAGAAUCCAUCCGGAUAGGAAGAAGAACGGCAGCUCACCGCCAAAACACUGAAUCCCCAUGACCAAGCCCUCCAAUGUCUUAAUCGAGCUGUCGCAUCCCUCGAACGCCUUGUCCAGCUCCUCCAGGUAUAUGAAAAGGAAGUUCCAUAUCAGCGCCGUUCCAAGUCCAAUGGCAACGCACCACAAGAAAAAUAUAACGCAGCGCACCGAGAGAAACAUCUGACCCACAUCUUUCAAAAUAUUGGACGACAAAUGUGUUGGCGUGUGCUGUAAUUUGGAGUACGGAAACUUUAGUUUAAGGAAAGGAUUUUCUGUCUCUGAUAUGCUCACCCUCAGCUUGGAUGAUGCGAACACAUCAAAUCCCAUGAUAAGCAAAGCCAUCCAGAACACGGCCGUGUAGUUCUUGUUCACCUCACCCAAUGACAUGUGAUCCACAAGGAGGCCGGCCAAGAGGGCAAAAACUCCCCAUCCAAGGGAGCCGCACAGGCGCUGUUUGCCGUACAGGUGAUGACGAUCGCCGAGGAUGCCAAAGCAUAUGGCGUCACC
ensembl:ncRNA asRNA:CR45885 antisense RNA:CR45885